rnacentral:rRNA from 1 species
UACGUAGGGGGCUAGCGUUGUCCGGAAUUAUUGGGCGUAAAGAGCUCGUAGGCGGUUUGUCACGUCGGGUGUGAAAGCCCGAGGCUCAACCUCGGGUCUGCAGUCGAUACGAGCAAACUAGAGUGUUGCAGGGGAGACUGGAAUUCCUGGUGUAGCGGUGAAAUGCGCAGAUAUCAGGAGGAACACCGGUGGCGAAGGCGGGUCUCUGGGCAACAACUGACGCUGAGGAGCGAAAGCGUGGGGAGCGAACAGG